rnacentral:rRNA from 1 species
GGCGGACGGGUGAGUAACGCGUAAGGAACUUGCCUCUUGGACUGGGACAACUGUUGGAAACGACAGCUAAUACCGGAUAUUAUGAGAUUCUCGCAUGAGAAACUUAUGAAAGCUAUAUGCGCCAAGAGAGAGCCUUGCGUUCCAUUAGCUAGUUGGUGGGGUAACGGCCCACCAAGGCGACGAUGGAUAGCCGGCCUGAGAGGGUGAACGGCCACAAGGGGACUGAGACACGGCCCUUACUCCUACGGGAGGCAGCAGUGGGGAAUAUUGGACAAUGGGCCACAAGCCUGAUCCAGCAAUUCUGUGUGCACGAUGAAGGUCUUCGGAUUGUAAAGUGUUUUCAGUUGGGAAGAAGAAAGUGACGGUACCAACAGAAGAAGCGACGGCUAAAUACGUGCCAGCAGCCGCGGUAAUACGUAUGUCGCAAGCGUUAUCCGGAUUUAUUGGGCGUAAAGCGCGUCUAGGCGGAAAAAUAAGUCUGAUGUUAAAAUGCGGGGCUCAACUCCGUAUUGCGUUGGAAACUGUUUUUCUAGAGUACUGGAGAGGUGGGCGGAACUACAAGUGUAGAGGUGAAAUUCGUAGAUAUUUGUAGGAAUGCCGAUGGAGA